CCGGAAAUCAGAGACCUGCGAUUAGAGAUUGAUGACCGUGAUGCGGGGGAGCCAAAGAAACAGAUGGUUAACCCCAGAGUCCUGGGACCAUGGACUAAAAGAUCCCCAUGAGAUGCAGCAUACAUCAAGAAGCCUCAAUGGAGAGAGAGAAAUCUUUCCAGAAUUGGCCGUAUAUUGUGAGCCUAGCUGGAGCUGGAGCUACUGAAUUAUAACCUGCAUUAAAAAAAAAA